UACGGAGGGUGCAAGCGUUAUCCGGAUUCACUGGGUUUAAAGGGUGCGUAGGCGGCUUUAUAAGUCAUUGGUGAAAGCUCGCAGCUUAACUGCGAAACUGCCAUUGAAACUGUUUAGCUUGAAUGUGGUUGAAGUGGGCGGAAUACAACAUGUAGCGGUGAAAUGCUUAGAUAUGUUUUAGAACACCGAUUGCGAAGGCAGCUCACUAAGCCAAUAUUGACGCUGAGGCACGAAAGCGUGGGGAGCAAACAGG
rnacentral:rRNA from 1 species